rnacentral:lncRNA from 10 species
GUAAGCCCACCUGAGCCACAGAACCUUCUCCCUCCCUACAAAAGGCUCAGGAGUAGGAGGCACCAGGUUCCUAACUGUCCACCAUCCCCCAGAUGACAUCGCAUCACCCUGGCUAUCUUCAGCAAGAAUCCUCUUAGGCGUCAGCCAGAAUUCUCCUAACCCCUGACGUCCUCCUCUUAGUACUUUUCCAUCCACUGACCCUCUCACUGAUCCUUGGCUAUAAGUCCCCACUUGCCCAUGCUGUAUUCAGAGUUGAACCCAAUCUCUCUCCCCUACUGCAAGAUGCUGUUGCAGUGGCUCCUCUACCUUCUGCAAUGGUCCUGAAUAAAAGUCUUUACCAUGCUUU